GGGAAAGGAGCGCGCGGCAAAUCGGGGGGACGGACGCCGAGCCACGCGCGCGCCGCGGCGACCCACCUUCCUCGCUGUUUACAGCCUAGAACCCAGCCUCUUGGAUAAUGGUGUUGUCGCGAGUGAAUCUCCACCCCGUCUCUCCCACUUCCUCAUUCGUCACUUCUACAGGUGCUGCUACGUGCCCUUUGUCUUUGAGCUCUUUGCUCUCCUACUUUUAAGGCUCGCCAGGUUCUGGGAGAUGGAGGGUCUGGAAUGCUCUCUAAUGAUAGUGUGUCAGCUGGGUGUUGUUCCGGCUCUUCCAUGAUUUCCCAACUUUUCCCCUCAUCUGCCUCUGAGCUGUGACCUCCCUCAAACCCCUGUUGCAAAUUUAUACUGUCUUCCUCUUCCUCCUCACUGGAAGGGUCAGGCUGGUUUCCUCCUCUGCCCAGUCCCUGACAAAUACACAGAUUCCUGCAAGGCACUCGUGGAUGGGGCUUCCCUUGAAGUUUCAACAGUUCAGUGGAAUGCAUCGCCUUCAUCUUAACAAGGUUGGGUCUCUCUUUAGUAGCAUACGAUUCCAGCAUCCUUACUUAAGAAUAUAAGAACAUAAGAAGAGCCUGCUGGAUCAGACCAAUGGCACAUCUAGUCCAGCAUCAUCUUCUCACAGUGGCCAGAUGCCUGUGGGAAACCCACAAACAGGACCGAGCUCAAGAGCACUCUCCCCAAAAUAGA